UGGCCUCACGGCCGUCGGCGUUGCUGGGAAGUUGACCAAACUUGAUCAUUUAGAGGAAGUAAAAGUCGUAACAAGGUUUCCGUAGGGGAACCUGCGGAAGGAUCAUUAACGUUUUC
rnacentral:rRNA from 1 species